AACAAUGGGUCACAAAGUGUACUGACGAACCUGUCUUUGGAAAUUCUAAAGUAGCAUAGUCUUCUGGUUGUGUAAGAAGAUGAAAAUCCUCUAAGAAGGGUAACUCCAAGGAAACUGAUAUUUUUUCUGCUAAUUUGUGACACCUUAAAAAUAGUGAUUCCAGGGAAGCAUCCUUACUAAACAGACCAAUUGCCUUUGCACUCAGGGCUAGGCGCCUCAGGCCAAGUCUCCAGGAUGCUCCCUUCUACCCAACCAGCAAUCUUGCCUGCACGUUGAAGAAAGUUGCACAGGUUAACUGUCUACUAACUACCUUCGGGAGGAUGUACCACCGUCAACUCAAAGUCAGCAUGUGCGAAGUAGAACUUGCUGCUCUUCCUCCAGAGUCUUCUCCCAGCACCAGUGUGGCUGGGCUGGAUUCUGUUUCCCAGAAUCCCUUUUCGGUUUACCCCCAGGUGCCCCGGCUACUCUGCCUCCAGCUGUUGCUCCGGACCACAGGCCCUGCCGGCCAGUAGCAGCCCCUGUGGACUUGCAAGCACGAGGCCCUCCUUCCCCACUGGCUUCCUCCUCU
ensembl:lncRNA